GUCAGAGAUAAUAAUGUUACUGCAGUAUGUCAGUUCAGAGAGAAUAAUGUCACUGCAGUAUGUCAGAGAGAAUAAUGUCACUGCAGUAUAUCAGAGAGAAUAACGUUACUGCAGUAUGUCAGUACAGAGAGAAUAAUGUCACUGCAGUAUGUCAGUUCAGAGACAAUAAUGUCACUGCAGUAUGUCAGCACAGAGAGAAUAAUGUCACUGCAGUAUGUCAGCACAGAGAGAAUAGUGUCACUGCAGUAUGUCAGAGAGAAUAAUGUCACUGCAGUAUGUCAGAGAGAAUAAUGUUACUGCAGUAUGUCAGUUCAGAGAGAAUAAUGUCACUGCAGUAUGUCAGCACAGAGAGAAUAAUGUCACUGCAGUAUGUCAGAGAGAAUAAUGUUACUGCAGUAUGUCAGAGAGAAUAAUGUCACUGCAGUAUGUCAGAGAGAAUAAUGUCACUGCAGUAUUUCAGAGAGAAUAAUGUCACUGCAGUAUGUCAGAGAGAAUAAU
ensembl:lncRNA